rnacentral:rRNA from 1 species
UACGUAGGGUCCGAGCGUUGUCCGGAAUCACUGGGCGUAAAGGGCGCGUAGGUGGUGGCUUAAGCGUGCGGUGAAAGCUCGGAGCUCAACCCCGAGUCGGCCGUGCGAACUGGGCUCACUGGAGCAUAGUAGAGGCAGGUGGAAUUCCGGGUGUAGCGGUGGAAUGCGUAGAGAUCCGGAAGAACACCGGUGGCGAAGGCGGCCUGCUGGGCUAUGGCUGACACUGAGGCGCGACAGCGUGGGAGCAAACAGG